rnacentral:misc_RNA from 1 species
AUAUCUCAACUCCAAUGUUUUGUCAAAGGUCUUGUCGACUCGUCCUGCCGGCCUAGCGAGGCUGCUGUGACUGUUGCGAGGCUGAAGCAUUGGAGCUUGGACUUGAGCUCUGUUGGCCUUCCCAGGUCGACUGGCUAGAAAUGCAUCAGCGAUGACGUCCCUUGGGUCCAUCUCGGCGUGAUAAGUUGAUCGUCGCAAAGGUCCUCGGGUUGGCUCGCUCCUAAUCGUCUUCGGACAGCCUCUGACG